rnacentral:rRNA from 1 species
CUGUUUCGGCUAGGGGGCCAUCCCGGCUUACCAACCCGAUGCAAACUGCGAAUACCGGAGAAUGUUAUCACGGGAGACACACGGCGGGUGCUAACGUCCGUCGUGAAGAGGGAAACAACCCAGACCGCCAGCUAAGGUCCCAAAGUCAUGGUUAAGUGGGAAACGAUGUGGGAAGGCCCAGACAGCCAGGAUGUUGGCUUAGAAGCAGCCAUCAUUUAAAGAAAGCGUAAUAGCUCACUGGUCGAGUCGGCCUGCGCGGAAGAUGUAACGGGGCUAAACCAUGCACCGAAGCUGCGGCAGCGACACUUUAGUGUUGUUGGGUAGGGGAGCGUUCUGUAAGCCGUUGAAGGUGUCCUGUGAGGGGGGCUGGAGGUAUCAGAAGUGCGAAUGCUGACAUAAGUAACGAUAAAGCGGGUGAAAAGCCCGCUCGCCGGAAGACCAAGGGUUCCUGUCCAACGUUAAUCGGGGCAGGGUGAGUCGACCCCUAAGGCGAGGCCGAAAGGCGUAGUCGAUGGGAAACGGGUUAAUAUUCCCGUACUUGGUGUUACUGCGAAGGGGGGACGGAGAAGGCUAUGUUGGCCGGGCGACGGUAGUCCCGGUUUAAGCGUGUAGGUGUGUGUUCCAGGCAAAUCCGGUUCACUUUAACACUGAGGCGUGAUGACGAGGCACCACGGUGCUGAAGCAACAAAUGCCCUGCUUCCAGGAAAAGCCUCUAAGCAUCAGGUAACAUCAAAUCGUACCCCAAACCGACACAGGUGGUCAGGUAGAGAAUACCAAGGCGCUUGAGAGAACUCGGGUGAAGGAACUAGGCAAAAUGGUGCCGUAACUUCGGGAGAAGGCACGCUGACACGUAGGUGAAGUGAUUUACUCAUGGAGCUGAAGUCAGUCGAAGAUACCAGCUGGCUGCAACUGUUUAUUAAAAACACAGCACUGUGCAAACACGAAAGUGGACGUAUACGGUGUGACGCCUGCCCGGUGCCGGAAGGUUAAUUGAUGGGGUCAGCGCAAGCGAAGCUCCUGAUCGAAGCCCCGGUAAACGGCGGCCGUAACUAUAACGGUCCUAAGGUAGCGAAAUUCCUUGUCGGGUAAGUUCCGACCUGCACGAAUGGCGUAAUGAUGGCCAGGCUGUCUCCACCCGAGACUCAGUGAAAUUGAACUCGCUGUGAAGAUGCAGUGUACCCGCGGCAAGACGGAAAGACCCCGUGAACCUUUACUAUAGCUUGACACUGAACAUUGAGCCUUGAUGUGUAGGAUAGGUGGGAGGCUUUGAAGCGUGGACGCCAGUCUGCGUGGAGCCGACCUUGAAAUACCACCCUUUAAUGUUUGAUGUUCUAACGUGGACCCGUAAUCCGGGUUGCGGACAGUGUCUGGUGGGUAGUUUGACUGGGGCGGUCUCCUCCUAAAGAGUAACGGAGGAGCACGAAGGUUGGCUAAUCCUGGUCGGACAUCAGGAGGUUAGUGCAAUGGCAUAAGCCAGCUUGACUGCGAGCGUGACGGCGCGAGCAGGUGCGAAAGCAGGUCAUAGUGAUCCGGUGGUUCUGAAUGGAAGGGCCAUCGCUCAACGGAUAAAAGGUACUCCGGGGAUAACAGGCUGAUACCGCCCAAGAGUUCAUAUCGACGGCGGUGUUUGGCACCUCGAUGUCGGCUCAUCACAUCCUGGGGCUGAAGUAGGUCCCAAGGGUAUGGCUGUUCGCCAUUUAAAGUGGUACGCGAGCUGGGUUUAGAACGUCGUGAGACAGUUCGGUCCCUAUCUGCCGUGGGCGCUGGAAGAUUGAGGGGGGCUGCUCCUAGUACGAGAGGACCGGAGUGGACGCAUCACUGGUGUUCGGGUUGUCAUGCCAAUGGCACUGCCCGGUAGCUAAAUGCGGAAAAGAUAAGUGCUGAAAGCAUCUAAGCACGAAACUUGCCCCGAGAUGAGUCUUCCCUGAGACUUUGAGUCUCCUGAAGGAACGUUAAAGACGAUGACGUUGAUAGGCCGGGUGUGUAAGCGCAGCGAUGCGUUGAGCUAACCGGUACUAAUGAACCGUGAGGCUUAACCUU